GUCAACAAAAUAUACUUUUUUUUGUUGGUACCUUCCAUACACAUCAAAUGGGGAUGAAUAUUUUUUAUUUCGCGUCCACCCCAUCGUGUGGGGUGUCGUUGAAUAAGUUUUUGAAAAAUAUUAUGAGAAUUCAUAGAUCAUUUUCC